AAAAAAAAAAAAAAACAGCAGUGUGAACAAAGUGUAUGAUGGAACCAAUCUACUGCUCCACAAAUGGCAACUUUUAGAGAGGUAUCCAGUCCUUCUCCUUGCCAGGAGAACCUCAAACGGUUUUUCUGCAGAGUGCUUCUGUCCAUGGAAGAUGGAAACAGAAGAUGCACAGGAUGCAUUUGUCACAAUAAAGAGGUUAUAUGAAAGUCUUCUGAAUGUGGCUAUUGCAGAGAAAGCAACAAGCAGAGUGGGAGAGACUCCAGCACCAAACAGCAAACAGACAGAGACUCCACCAAUACACAACACAGCAGACCCGGCAUCAGAGUCAACACCUCUGCUCCCCUGUAAUGGUAAAAUGUCUCAUUCAA